GACGAACGCUGGCGGCGUGCCUAAUACAUGCAAGUCGAACGCUUCUUUCCUCCCGAGUGCUUGCACUCAAUUGGAAAGAGGAGUGGCGGACGGGUGAGUAACACGUGGGUAACCUACCCAUCAGAGGGGGAUAACACUUGGAAACAGGUGCUAAUGCCGCAUAACAGUUUAUGCCGCAUGGCAUAAGAGUGAAAGGCGCUUUCGGGUGUCGCUGAUGGAUGGACCCGCGGUGCAUUAGCUAGAUGGUGAGGUAACGGCUCACCAAGGCCACGAUGCAUAGCCGACCUUAGAGGGUGAUCGGCCACACUGGGACUGAGACACGGCCCAGACUCCUACGGGAGGCAGCAGUAGGGAAUCUUCGGCAAUGGACGAAAGUCUGACCGAGCAACGCCGCGUGAGUGAAGAAGGUUUUCGGAUCGUAAAACUCUGUUGUUAGAGAAGAACAAGGACGUUAGUAACUGAACGUCCCCUGACGGUAUCUAACCAGAAAGCCACGGCUAACUACGUG
rnacentral:rRNA from 1 species